UGAUAUAUAUGUACCAUUUUUUCUUUAUCUAGCCUAUCAUUGAUAGGCAUUUAGGUUGAUUCUAUGUCUUUGCUAGUGUGAAUAGUGCUGCAAUUGAAGGGGGACGUGCCAAACUUUUAAACCAUCAGAUAUCAUGAGAACUCACUAUCAUGAGAACAGCAAGGGGGUAUCUUUCCCCAUGAUCCUGUCACCUCCCACCAGGCCCCUCCUCU
rnacentral:lncRNA from 1 species